UGGGGAAUCUUGCACAAUGGAGGAAACUCUGAUGCAGCGAUGCCGCGUGAGUGAAGAAGGCCUUUGGGUUGUAAAGCUCUUUUGUAGGGGAAGAUAAUGACUGUACCCUAAGAAUAAGGUCCGGCUAACUUCGUGCCAGCAGCCGCGGUAAUACGAAGGGACCUAGCGUAGUUCGGAAUCACUGGGCGUAAAGCGCGCGUAGGCCGUUGAGUUAGUUAAUUGUGAAAUCCCAAAGCUUAACUUUGGAACUGCAAUUAAAACUGCUCGACUAGAGUUUGAUAGAGGAAAGCGGAAUACAUAGUGUAGAGGUGAAAUUCGUAGAUAUUAUGUAGAACACCAGUUGCGAAGGCGGCUUUCUGGAUCAACACUGACGCUGAGGCGCGAAAGUAUGGGUAGCAAAGAGGAUUAGAUACCCUCGUAGUCCAUACCAUAAACGAUGAUUGCUAGAUGUUGGAAAUUUAUUUUCAGUAUCGCAGCUAACGCAUUAAGCAAUCCGCCUGGGGAGUACGACCGCAAGGUUA
rnacentral:rRNA from 1 species